CUGGUAGGAUAACGGGUAACACGAUGGAAGACAAGCUUUCUCACCUGCUCGGCUUCUCAUCGUGUUACCCAGCAUCUUAUCGC
rnacentral:pre_miRNA from 1 species